rnacentral:rRNA from 1 species
AUUGAACGCUGGCGGCAGGCCUAACACAUGCAAGUCGAGCGGAUGAAGGGAGCUUGCUCCUGGAUUCAGCGGCGGACGGGUGAGUAAUGCCUAGGAAUCUGCCUGGUAGUGGGGGAUAACGUCCGGAAACGGGCGCUAAUACCGCAUACGUCCUGAGGGAGAAAGUGGGGGAUCUUCGGACCUCACGCUAUCAGAUGAGCCUAGGUCGGAUUAGCUAGUUGGUGGGGUAAAGGCCUACCAAGGCGACGAUCCGUAACUGGUCUGAGAGGAUGAUCAGUCACACUGGAACUGAGACACGGUCCAGACUCCUACGGGAGGCAGCAGUGGGGAACAUUGGACAAUGGGCGAAAGCCUGAUCCAGCCAUGCCGCGUGUGUGAAGAAGGUCUUCGGAUUGUAAAGCACUUUAAGUUGGGAGGAAGGGCAGUAAGUUAAUACCUUGCUGUUUUGACGUUACCAACAGAAUAAGCACCGGCUAACUUCGU